UUUGCUUCACCGCUUUAUGAUCCAAUAAGAUUAGGAUUUGUGUACCCGCUUUUCGUCAACCAGGUUAAAUUUAGAUGUUACACCGCUUCAAAUCCAAUCUUCUCCACUGUCUCUAGACUCUUCCUUAGACCGCCAUCCAAAAAGAAUUAGUCAUCCACCGUCUUCUUCAAAGAACUCUGAAUUUAUGCCCUAAAUUGAUGGUGCAGGUGUCCUUCUACGUUUCCUCCACCGCCUCAAAAGCUUAAUACGUUUUUUCCCACGCACCGAUGAUCCAUCAUAGAUAUUUCUUCUCUUUUCCACUGAUAUACCCAAUAAUUUUCCCCACUGCCUCUGCUCAUCAUCUAUUUCAAUGGAUCCACUCACGGAUUUCCGUUUAGCUUCCCACCACUUUGUCUUCGUUCCCGAUAACCUCCACAAAACCUCUUUUCACCGGGAAAGGUUUCCCAUCUUCUCUACCGUCAUACUGCAUCUACUGUACCCCUGCACAUCUUCAUGUCGAUCGCCUCCGCGUAUGGUCUCCAGACGAUGCUAUCGAUGACACCUCCGCCUCAGUCUUCUAUCACGAUGUUAACGCCUGCCAAUUCAGUGUCUGAAGCAGGAGUCGUUAUCUGCGUUUCAGAAAAGAGGGGGACAGAUUAGGACUUUUGUGCCUGAAUCAGUUAAUUGAAGAUAGAAGCAGGUAUUUUUUUUCAUUUCAUUCGACUUUUAUUUACAUCAAACACAUAUUUUGGGAUCUAAUCUGUCAAUUUCUUUUGAUGCAAACAUAAUUUGAUAUUAUCGACUUAGUAUAGGACUAGGUAGUGGAGAAUCGAGGUUAAAGAGAUCAACCAUUCGUUGAUUUUAAGGUUUAUUGAAGGGUUAGUUUCGGUUUUUCCAAAAGUUGAAGGCUUAGAAGAUGUAAUACUAUUUCUGCACCCCCAUCCAAUUGUACCAUUUUUUAAUAUUCUCAAAAGUGAUGGGAUAUUGUGUUUUUUUUAAAAAAAAUAAUAAUUGUUCUUUGGGUGAUAAUUCUCAGUUAAAAGAGGAUAAACAACUUGCAAGAGCAUUACUUAGCUGGCUAAUUUCGCGAACAAGUUUUUUACUGUUUGGUGUUUCAGUGUCUUCAUAGUAUAUGUUGUUUCCGUUUUGAUUUCUUUGUAAUCAGCCAAUCUAGAUUCUUAUGAGGACAAUUGGCUCUGCAAUUCUAUGAAUUGUCAGUAAUUCAAAUGAUUAAAAUUUCAUUUUUUUCCUCUUUGCAAAUCGGCUACCUAAAAUCUUAGGUCAUAACAUAUGUAAGUUGACUUGGAAGAAUCGAUCUUGGUUAUGAAAUGAUUAAAAUUAUGCAUUUGUUACUGUCCCCUUUUACUGUAUUGUGAUAUAUCUGAGUGUAGAGGUAGAUUGGUCUUUCAAAAAAUUGAAAUAUGAAAACAAAAAAUUGUACACAAGGGUAGUUUAGUCUCAAACUGUUAAUGAUAAAAAAAUAUGUAUUUUUUAGUGUUAAAAUCCUUCAAUUUCAAUAAAAAAAACUUUGCAUUCAAUUUGAGCAUAGAAAAAGUGCAUACACCAUCCCAUUUUACUGUAUUGUGGCAUAUUUGAGUGCAGGGGCAAAUUGGUCUUUCAACAAAAUUGAAAUAUGAACAAAAAAACAUUUCAUAAGGGUUGUUGAUUUACAGAUUCUCUUAAAUUAAUCUGAUUUUAAAGAUCCUGAUGUCAAGAACAUGCAACGUCAUAGUUACAAAAGGCUUGGUAGCUUUUGCAAGUGCAGGUUUAGCUUUUCCCUUUUACAUGGCGUAAUUACAUUGGUUUUCAGUUUAUUAAUGAUUUUAUUUAGUCUUUCUUGAAACAUUAUAUAUUAAAUUAUAUGUUAAUUGUUGAACAUAGGACUAGGUGAUCAUUAAAGUCCCAAAUUAUUCAUUCAUAAAAACCAUUGCCACCUUAGGCAUCUUUAAACUCCCCUAUAAUUGAUUUAUCAUGAAAGUCUCCUCUAAUCGAUUUAUCAAAACCAUCUUGAAAGUUUGACAUGGUGGCUGAUGUAUUUAAAAGUUGUUGAAUGUUGUGAAGGUUCUUUUUGUUUUCUCAUAUAAAUCAUUGGCAAAUAUUUACUGUAUUAUUUACCCUUUUCUUCCCUAUUGAAGCUUCCUUUAUAAUUGUAAGCCAUUUAUAAAGUGCCUACCUUAGUAUUGCUUUCUUUCCUUAUCAGUUCGCUUUUUCCAUCUUAUCUUUACUUCAUACUACCAUCACCACAUGGACACUGUCAAAUAAUGGGUGAUUUACAUUGGAGUAUGUAUAUUCAUGGGCACAACAUGAGACAUUCUCUGGGUUACAACCAUUUAUUCAAGAAUCUACCGCGUAGGCAGAUAAAGAAACUCUUCGACCACAGUUUCACUAGAACUGGCUUGAAACGAACUCAAAAGGUUAAGAAAUCUUUUGUAAAAGUUGGUUACCAAAGGAUGGAGUCAGAAUCAAAGCUGGUGUGUGUUUUGUUCAUGGGCAUGGUGACACUUGAACCUUUUUGUUUGAAGACAUUCUAGGUUUGAAGGUGUUGGAAAUUUUACCCUGUUCCCGAUGAUCAUCGGUGAAACACCUAGAAUACAAUACAUUUGGGAUAAAAGAUUUUGUGAUUUUUGUAGGUAUUGGGAGAAACCGGGAGUAGAGGAUCAUCAACACCAUCGACGGUAGAUGCUAUCAAGAACUGGCAAAAAUCUAUCCCAAAAAACUCAUCAGAAACAUGUAACAAUCCGUCCUCUACAGAUUCUGCUUUUGAAUGCCUUAAUUUCUUAAGCAAAUGGUUGUACUGCAGUCAGAUUCAUGCAAAACUGUUGUUGACAGCUGCAACAUGCAUAAAUCAGAGAAGGUCAUUGUCGUCCUUUUCGUAUGUAUUAUAUAAAACUAUAGAUUAAAUGAAAUAAAUGGAAACGUAGUUUUAUUUA